rnacentral:rRNA from 1 species
AUUGAACGCUGGCGGCAUGCCUUACACAUGCAAGUCGAACGGCAGCGGACCUUCGGGUGCCGGCGAGUGGCGAACGGGUGAGUAAUGUAUCGGAACGUACCUUUCAGUGGGGGAUAACGUAGCGAAAGUUACGCUAAUACCGCAUAUUCUGUGAGCAAGAAAGCAGGGGAUCGCAAGACCUUGCGCUGAUUGAGCGGCCGAUAUCAGAUUAGCUAGUUGGUGAGGUAAAGGCUCACCAAGGCGACGAUCUGUAGCGGGUCUGAGAGGAUGAUCCGCCACACUGGAACUGAGACACGGUCCAGACUCCUACGGGAGGCAGCAGUGGGGAAUUUUGGACAAUGGGGGCAACCCUGAUCCAGCCAUGCCGCGUGAGUGAAGAAGGCCUUCGGGUUGUAAAGCUCUUUCGUCCGGGAAGAAAUCGCAUCAGCUAAUACCUGGUGUGGAUGACGGUACCGGAAUAAGAAGCACCGGCUAACCACGUGCCAGCCGCCGCGGUAACAC